rnacentral:rRNA from 1 species
GAUGAACGCUGGCGGCGUGCCUAAUACAUGCAAGUCGAGCGCGAGAGUGAGGAGCUUGCUCCUCAUAAUCGAGCGGCGGACGGGUGAGUAACACGUAGGCAACCUACCCUUGAGAUUGGGAUAAUUACCGGAAACGGUAGCUAAUACCGGAUACGACUUUUCCACACAAGUGGAAUGGUUAAAAGGCGGAUUUAUCUGCCGCUGCUUGAAGCGCCUGCGGUGCAUUAGCUAGUUGGUGAGGUCGUGGCUCACUAAGGCGACGAUGCAUAGCCGACCUGAGAGGGUGAUCGACCACACUGGGACUGAGACACGGCCCAGACUCCUACGGGAGGCAGCAGGAGGGAAUCUUCCGCAAUGGACGCAAGUCUGACGGAGCAACGCCGCGUGAGUGAUGAAGGGUUUCGGCUCGUAAAACUCUGUUGUUAAGGAAGAACACUUGAGGUAGUAACUGGCCUUGAGAUGACGGUACUUAACCAGAAAGCCACGGCUAACUACGUGCCAGCAGCCGCGAUAA